ACACACACACUUGGACACUACACACACAGCUGAGGAGUAACUUUCCUCUUCUCGCGGAGCACCCUAUCCCCUAUUAUCGGCAUCUGAUCUUCCUAGUUCGGAUCCCCGGAACACACGCCUUCUCCAGCCUGCAAUCUACACACGUGGGGAAGCGCGUCCAAGUGGUGCCAGGAGGCAGGAGGGAAGCGCAAAGGUGGGGAAGGCCGGGGACGAGGAAGGAGGGAGCUCUGAGUCGGAUCUGGGAUCUCAGAUCCCCGGGGCAGCGUAGAUGCAGGGUAAGCUUCUGGGAUGCGGAGAGGGAAAGGCAGGGGGGAAGGAACCUAGAGAAGGUUAAAGGGCGGGGGUGGGACGGAGGAUGCGGGGUAGGGGUCGCUCACCUAGGGUUUUGACAGCGAUCUGUCUGGUGAGGGGCGGCGGCAGGUUAAUGCACACCAAGUCCACGUCCUGAUGCAGCAGCACCUCAUCAAUGCGGCUAGUGUAGAAGGGGACACUCAUCUCCUUGGCCAGCUCCUCCGCUUCUUCCUGCGUGCGGCCCCACAGCGCCUUCACCGCGAAGCCCUCGUCUUUCAGCAGCGGGAUGAUGACACGGGCCGUGAGGCUGGUGCCGAACACGCCCACCCCGGGAAGCAUGGCUGCUCAGAGCCGCCUGGUUCUGCUUCUGCUCGGAUCUCCAGUCCAACGCGCGCACACACCCACCUCUAGCCAGUCCUGCACCCCGCUCCUGUAGCCAAUCUAGCCGCGGUGCGCCAGCCGCCGUGCACCGGGCAAGGCGCCCGGGUGCCCAGAGCGCACCGAGCUGCAGGCGGAGCAAGCUCGGGGCGCCUCAGAACGGUGACUGCGGCAGUGUCCGCCACGCGGGGCUCGCGUCCUUCCCGGAGUCGGCGGCAGGGACCCCCCCAGGGCGCCGGAGGCUUCGAAGCCCCCUGGAGCCCCGGCUCAGGCUGCGCUCCCGCGGCAGCGCCAGUCCGCUGCGUGCGCCCCGCCAAGGCCGCUCCAUGGCCGGCUCAUCCCCGCGGCCGCGCCGCCGCAGCCCGGGACCGGCUCUCUCCCGCGUCGUUUGCGCAGCCGGCGAAUCGCACAGACAAACGUCUACACCCUGCCAGAGCACGGAACCGCUCCGCGGGGGAGUCUCCUUUCUUCCUAGCUCUCCGUUGGGAAUGAAAUAAUCCCGCGGCCGCCAGGAGGCCGGCUAAGGAUGCGGCCCGGAGCGCGCCGGACUGGGAUCCCGAGCUGCAGCGCGGCAGCGG
rnacentral:lncRNA from 1 species